rnacentral:rRNA from 1 species
UACGUAGGGGGCAAGCGUUGGUCCGGAAUCAUUGGGCGUAAAGAGCGUGUAGGCGGUUCGGUAAGUCGGCUGUGAAAGUCCAGGGCUCAACCCUGGGAUGCCGGUCGAAACUGCCGUGACUCGAGUCCGGUAGGGGAGUGCGGAAUUCCCGGUGUAGCGGUGAAAUGCGCAGAUAUCGGGAGGAACACCAGUGGCGAAGGCGGCACUCUGGGCCGGAACUGACGCUGAGGAGCGAAAGCGUGGGGAGCGAACAGG